CCUACGGGAGGCAGCAGUGAGGAAUAUUGGUCAAUGGGCGCAAGCCUGAACCAGCCAUGCCGCGUGCAGGAUGAAGCAUCUAUGGUGUGUAAACUGCUUUUGUACAGGAAGAAACACUCGUUCGUGAACGAGCUUGACGGUACUGUAAGAAUAAGGACCGGCUAACUCCGUGCCAGCAGCCGCGGUAAUACGGAGGGUCCAAGCGUUAUCCGGAAUCAUUGGGUUUAAAGGGUCCGUAGGCGGUUUAGUAAGUCAGUGGUGAAAGCCCAUCGCUCAACGGUGGAACGGCCAUUGAUACUGCUAGACUUGAAUUAUUAGGAAGUAACUAGAAUAUGUAGUGUAGCGGUGAAAUGCUUAGAGAUUACAUGGAAUACCAAUUGCGAAGGCAGGUUACUACUAAUAUAUUGACGCUGAUGGACGAAAGCGUGGGGAGCGAACAGGAUUAGAUACCCCUGGUAGUCCACGCCGUAACGAUGAUACUAGNUGUUCGGUAGCAUNUGNGUGGNGUAGACGAAGUAGAUAAGUAAUCCCACCCGUCGGGGUAGGUUACGGUUCGGUCGAAGAAGUAGAAACGUUAAAAGUUAAGUAAGUUAGUACGGCGUGAGACGUAGCCGAACGGACGACCGACCGGAGGGGAGGGUUAGGGGAG
rnacentral:rRNA from 1 species